AUGGCGGCAUGCUUACACAUGCAGUCGAACGAGAUCUUCGGAUCUAGUGGCGCACGGGUAGUACUGGGAACCUACCAUUCUGUACGGAAUACGCUUGGAAACGAGCGCUAAUACCGUAUACGCCCUGUGGGGGAAAGGUCCGCCGCAGAAUGAGGGGCCCGCGUCCGAUUAGUUUGUUGGUAAGGUAACGGCUUACCAAGACUACGAUCGGUAGCUGGUCUGAGAGGAUGAUCAGCCACACUGGGACUGAGACACGGCCCAGACUCCUACGGGAGGCAGCAGUGGGGAAUAUUGGACAAUGGGGGCAACCCUGAUCCAGCAAUGCCGCGUGUGUGAUGAAGGCCCUAGGGUUGUAAAGCACUUUCAAUGGUGAAGAUGAUGACGGUAGCCGUAAAAGAAGCCCCGGGUUAACUUUCGUGCCAGCAGCCGCGGGUAAUACGAAGGGGGCGAGCGUUGUUCGGAAUUACUGGGCGUAAGGGCCCAGCAGCAAAA
rnacentral:rRNA from 1 species